rnacentral:rRNA from 1 species
AUUGAACGCUGGCGGCGUGCCUAACACAUGCAAGUCGAGCGAGCGGAGGACGGGUGAGUACUGUAUGGGGACUGCCCGAUAGAGGGGGAUAACUACUGGAAACGGUAUCUAAUACGGUGUACUAUGGGAUAACCCAUAUGUGGUUAGCUAGUAGGUGAGGUAAUGGCUCACCUAGGCGACGAUCCCUAGCUGGUCGGAGAGGAUGAUCAGCCACACUGGGACUGAGACACGGCCCAGACUCCUACGGAGGCAGCAGUGGGGAAUAUUGCACAAUGGGCGAAAGUCUGACGCAGCAAUGCCGCGUGUAUGAAGAAGGCCCUAGGGUUGUAAAGUACUUUCAGUCGGGAGGCGUUACCGACAGAGGAAGCAACGGCUAACUCCGUGCCAGCAGCCGCGGUAAUAC